AUUGAACGCUGGCGGCAGGCCUAACACAUGCAAGUCGAACGAGUGGCGGACGGGUGAGUAAUGUCUGGGAAACUGCCCGAUGGAGGGGGAUAACUACUGGAAACGGUAGCUAAUACCACAUACCAUCGGAUGUGCCCAGAUGGGAUGAGCUAGUAGGUGGGGUAACGGCUCACCUAGGCGACGAUCCCUAGCUGGUCUGAGAGGAUGACCAGCCACACUGGAACUGAGACACGGUCCAGACUCCUACGGGAGGCAGCAGUGGGGAAGAUUGCACAAUGGGCGCAAGCCGGAUGCAGCCAUGCCGCGUGGAUGAAGAAGGCCUUCGGGUUGUAAAGUACUUUCAGCGGGGAGGCGGUACCCGCAGAAGAAGCACCGGCUAACUCCGUGCCAGCAGCCGCGGUAAUUC
rnacentral:rRNA from 1 species